UAGUACUUGAGCUGUUGGAUUCACAGCUUGGAAACUGAAUGAACUGAUUGAUGCGCAUCAGCAGCAUGAAGUUAAGCUCCCGUAAACGUGGUUGAUUCUUGAUUUUCCAAUCCUUUCGAUACAUCAUUGUUUUAACAUGACAUCUUUUCUCAACCUGAUGGUUUUAAGAAUCCAUGAAACAAUUUGCACUUGGGCAAAAUGAGAGAGAAUUACAAGCCAUACGCUUUUAAAGAUACCAACCCAGUUUGCAGUCAAUUUAAUGAGAGAACUCAAAACAACACACUAAUACACAAGAUUAUACUGUCAAUUUCCUUGUUCCAAUUGAACAAUCAAUCAUGAAUUAUAUGUAAAUGUGCAGGGUACUUUGAACUACAUGGUUCAAAAACAAAAGAGCCAGGUACGCAUAUAAAAAAGCAGGUCAGUUACACACUCAGCCAGAACUUCAAUCCAUUACUUGACAUGUUGAAGGUCCCAUGAAUCUAUUUGCUCUCUACAGACUGAAAUUUAAAACUUUCCGAAAUUAACCCAGAAGAAUCCAGAUAUGGUUUCCCCGCUUCAGCAGUUUACCUAACCCUAAAUGUUUGUUAAUCCAAACACACCAGGGAACUGAAUAACAAAUGCAGAACACUAUUUGAAAUUUCCAAUUCAUUAUAACAAACAACAUCGGAUGACCUAAAAUAAUACAUAAUUAAUCAACAUGUGGCUACUAAAUAUAACUUGUUACAUGUGUCUUAAACGAAGUGCAAUCAAUCAAGGACCCAAAAACCUGCCAACAACCGUUACAUCUGAAGCUUUAAUUUACAACUCCAUGCUUAGGCAACCUGAGUUCUGAUAGACAUGCAUCCUUCCUUAUUGUAACUAAGAUCCCAGGUUCAAAAUUGUAACUAAGAUCCCAGGUUCAAAAUACAGUAAUUACCUGGUAUGAACUAUGAAGAUUGAAUAGCCUCCAUCAUCCUGUUAAACAGUUUCCAUCCAACUCGAGACAGGUAUUUAAG
rnacentral:lncRNA from 1 species